rnacentral:rRNA from 1 species
GAUGAACGCUGGCGGCGUGCUUAACACAUGCAAGUCGAACGGAAAGGCUCCUGCUUGCAGGGGUACUCGAGUGGCGAACGGGUGAGUAACACGUGGGUGAUCUGCCCUGCACUUCGGGAUAAGCCUGGGAAACUGGAUCUAAUACCGGAUAGGACCACAUUUUGGAUGGUGUGGUGGAAAGUUUUUCGGUGUGGGAUGAGCUCGCGGCCUAUCAGCUUGUUGGUGGGGUAAUGGCCUACCAAGGCGUCGACGGGUAGCCGGCCUGAGAGGGUGUACGGCCACAUUGGGACUGAGAUACGGCCCAGACUCCCACGGGAGGCAGCAGUGGGGAAUAUUGCACAAUGGGCGCAAGCCUGAUGCAGCGACGCCGCGUGGGGGAUGACGGCCUUCGGGUUGUAAACUCCUUUCGCUAGGGACGAAGCGCAAGUGACGGUACCUGGAGAAGAAGCACCGGCUAACUACGUG